rnacentral:lncRNA from 1 species
UGCAUCACCAUAGCAGCCAAGCAAGUAGACAUCAUCGACAUGUACUCACCGCUUUCCUCGCAAUGGAGAAAGAGUCAAACAAAAAAUAUCAGACCAUGAUAUGACACCAGACCAUAGAUUAGUAACUUUAAAUCACAAAGUAUACCCACAACACCAUAAAAUAGUCCCAAACCCGAGUGUUAUUUGAGUAUAUCGCAUGUAGUUUAUUUUCAUGAUUCCAGAAACAUGGAAGGGUUCAAUACAGUCCUAAUAUACAUUCAUAUUACAAUAGCUCGAUAAGUCCAGAAAUAUGUUGUAUAUGCACGAUAAGUCUAGAAACCCCAGUGCUAUUUAUUUACUGGUUUUACUGAAUCACACUACAUUACUGCCCUUAUUAGAAAUCUCUCGCAUGAAUCUGGGUGCAGGGUAGAUGCCUUUUUUAUAUGUUCUACAUUACUACCCCAAGAAACAUUGGCUUUGAACGCUUGUGCCAACUCGUUUAUCAACAGACAUAUUCUAGCAGAGAGGCACUCUGAUUUGCCUGUGUGGAUCUGGACAAUUCCCCUCGCUCUACGAGAAGCUACCGAAUAAACAGUUUCACACAUCUGUUGAUUGGUUUUGAUACUCAUAACAAAAGGAUGCAGCAUAUAAACAGCAGCCACGGCACAACUACAACGCGGCUCAAAUUUCAAGUUGUUGUGAUUUGCCUGUAGCAUGCUGCCUAAGCAACGGCAAUGCAUAGUGGUACAGCUGAGAGAUCAGUAGCAUCAACACAUUAGCCCUACUUGGAUCACACGCCCAUGUACAGGCCCCAGAGACAAUUCAACCAAAUUGGCCAGGUUCGAGCAGAGCACAAAGGCAAAGACAAAGUAUAUAUCAAUGCCUACAAUCUUCAGUUCAGUACACAUCUCUUUAGAACAAAGUAAUAUUCAGAAUUCAUAUAUCAGUAUAUAUUCAGAAUUGAACCACCAAUGACAGCUUUACUAAUAUCUCAUUAGUAGAGAGUAAACACCAGCAAACUAAUUUCAUCUUGAAGGGUAGUUUUGUAGCAGCAACAAGCAUUAAAACAAGCUACUCUUGUUACUAUAGUGCAGUUCAGUACUAUAGUUCAGUACCAUAUGCCUACAAUCAGAAACAAGCUUCAGUACAGUCAAAGUAUAAUUACAAAUAGGAUUAAGAAUCAAACUUGUUACUCAUGGGAUCCUGGCACAGAGCGUUCAGUAAAGAGUAUAACACAAGCCACACUUAUAAACACAAGCUUCAGUUCAGUGCAGAAAUAAACAAGCCUCAAAUUGUGAGCAGUAGUGUUAGAUUGUUUACCUUCAGAGUUCUUCUUCUCCCACCUCCCCAUCCUUCACAAAGCCGCCCUCCACAUGAACAAAUCAAGCUUUCAGUUCAACAAUCAACACCAUUCACCUCUUCAUCCUCACUAUUUCCUCACUAUUUCUGCCUCCUCUGCCAGCGCGCCCUGGUCGGACUCAUCGCCGCACUCGUCAUUCAAUAAAGAGUAUAACACAAGCUACACUUAUAAACACAAGCUUCAGUUCAGUGCAGAAAUAAACAAGCCUCAGAUUGUGAGCAGCAGUGUUAGAUUGUUUACCUUCAUAGUUCUUCUUCUCCCACCUCCCCAUCCUUCACAAAGCCACCCUCCACCAGAACAAAUCAAGCUUUCAGUUCAACAAUCAAAACCAUUCAUCUUAAGUGAUCUUAAAUAGCUAGCAACAAAGUCUACUACAACAUCUCAGUCAAUUAAAUCACAUAUGAUUGUGGGACUUUGAUUAACCAAAAUAGUGC